CAGUAGCCGCGGUAAUACGGAGGGUGCAAGCGUUAAUCGGAAUUACUGGGCGUAAAGCGCACGCAGGCGGUCUGACAAGUCAGAUGUGAAAUCCCCGGGCUUAACCUGGGAACUGCAUUUGAAACUGUCAGGCUGGAGUCUUGUAGAGGGGGGUAGAAUUCCAGGUGUAGCGGUGAAAUGCGUAGAGAUCUGGAGGAAUACCGGUGGCGAAGGCGGCCCCCUGGACAAAGACUGACGCUCAGGUGCGAAAGCGUGGGGAGCAAACAGGAUUAGAGACCCCUGUAGUCCCUGUCUCUUAUAC
rnacentral:rRNA from 1 species